ensembl:lncRNA
CUCUUAUUGGCCCCUGUGACCUCUUGUGGUUAAGCAGCUCACAGAUCCAUGGACCUCAGAGUACAGGCAUUGUCAGCUCCACUUGACUGCCAGUGCCUUCCAGGGACCAAGCCUGGAUGAAGCUUCGCUGGCAUACAGCCCGCACCAUCUGCAGCAGUUGAGAGGUUUGGGCUUUUCUCUCCCAGAACUGGGGACAAGUCUCUUCUUGAAGCAUCCUGUAGGCAGAACUACGUUAACUGUAUGAAGUCAUGGGAGGGAGAGGGCUCCAUAUUAGGUCAUUCUUGCAUUGCGGGAAAGAAACACCUGAGACUGGGUAAUUUAUAAAGUACAGAGGUAUAAUUGGCUCAUGGUUCUGCAGAUUUUACAGGAAGCACGGCGCUGGCAUCUGCUUGGCUGCUACAGAGGCCUCAGGAAGUUUGCGAUCAUGGCAGAAGAUGAAGCCAGAGCAGGCGUGAUGAAAGCAGAAGCAAGUGAGAGAGUGGGAAGGAGGCACUACACACUUUUAAAUGACCAAAUCUGGUGAGAUGCUAGAGAUACUAAAAUGAACACGCAAAAUCCUUUCCCUUCCUCGAGGAAUCAACAGUGCAACUGGAGAGAGCUAAGUAAACAGUUCUGAUGGAGGAAGACACAUGCUCUGAUAGAGAUGGCCAGAGGGUGCUGGGGAGCCAGGGGGAGAAGCCCGACUCAGCUUUGGGGCCUCAGGAAAGAAUUUCCAAAACUGUUGGUUUUCUAGACAAGCUCCCGUUACCUCCCAUCCCAAAGGUGGGACCUUCCUUCUAGUACUCUCAGUGCCCUACUUCGUUUCUUAAGCAUCCACUUCUGACAUGAUAUAGAACAUUGCUGUUAUAGCUGAAUGUUUGUGACUGCAACAUCCAUAUGUUGAAACACUUCACCCUCAAGGAGGUGAGGUCUUUGGAAGGUGAUUAGGAUUAGAUGAGGUCAUUUGAGCUGAGACCCUAUGAAUGGGAUCAGUGCCUUUUUAAGGGUCCCAAGAGAGCUUGCUUCACUCCGCUCUCUGCCAUGUGAGGACACUGGGAAAGGGCUGCCGCCUGCAACUUGGAAAAGGGCCUACACAGAACCCACCAUGCAGACACUCUGAUCUCAGGCUUCCAGCCUCCAGAACCAUCAGAAAUGAAUUUCUGGUAUUGAUAAACCACCCAGGCAAUGGUAAUUUACUGUAGUGCCCAAACUGACCAGGACACUGGCCAUAGAAAAUAAUGCUUGCUGCGGUCAGAUCACAGUCCAUGGUCAUCUUAUUGUUAGAAGAGAGUUCUCCAAGAGGUGCACGUGUUUCCCCAGGGUGUGUAAUCUGGAGAGCUGGGUGAAAGUAUUCAAACCUUCCCUGUUUAUGUUUAUCUUUACCUAAGAAUAGAAGUGGGUUAGGCUCUCCUCACACUGGUGUGUGGGCCACUUAUUUCCACACUAUUGAAAGGUGGCAGGGUGCAUCCCUUCUAACUGGGUGCACCACACAUGAUGCACUGCAGGCUGCGUACGUGUGACCACAGCUUAAUGAUGAUCUUAUCUACACUCAACCUACCCAAAAUCCAGAAUAAACCAUAGAUCCAAGAAAAUUCUCAUCAUACAAGUUCAACAGAACAAGAAAGUGAAGAUGCUAACACGUCUACCAGCAGUCACAUUUGCAGGCGAAAAUAGUUAUUUCAUUUUACUGUUAACCUUUGUAUGUUUCUUUUUUAUUUGCAUAUUUUUGACAUAGAGUUUCACUCUUUUCACCCAGGCUGGAGUCCAAUGGCACGAUUGUGGCUCACUGCAACUUCUGCCUCCCAAGUUCAAGUGAUUCUCUUGGUCAGUCUCCCUAGUAGCUGAGAUUACAGGCACUGACCACCAUACCCAGCUAAUUUUUGUAUUUUCAGUAGAGAUAGGCUUUCACCGUGUUGGCCAGGCUGGUCUUAAACUCCUGACUUCAGAUGAUCCACUUGCCUUGGCCUCCCAAAGUGCUGGGAUUACAGGUGUGAGCCACUGCUCUGGACCUAUUUGUAUGAAUGUAUGGGGAACAAGUGUAAUUUUGUUACAUGCAUAGAUAGCACAGUGGUGAAAUCAGGGCUUUUAGUGUAUUCAUCACCCAAAUAAUGUACAUUGUACCCAGAAAGUAAUUUCUCAUCAUCCAUUUCCCUCCCACCCCUCACCCUUCUGAGUCUCCAAAGCCUAUCAUUCCACUCUCUACAUCUUCGUGCUCCCAUUGUGAAUAGUGCUGCGAUAAAGAUAAACAUACAAGUUCUGGUACCUUUCUGACAUACUGACUUUUUUCCCUUGGGUAGUGCAUGCACCUGCCAGUGGGAGACCUCUGCGCAAUAUUGGUCAGUCCAGCUCCGUCUAGGUUUGCCCCCGACCUCCAAGACACAGCAUGGAUCCAGGCUCCUGGGGGUCUCAUGUCCCAUAACCUUUAUACAUUUCUAUUCUAUUUUAAAUGUAGAGUAUGAAGAAACAAGCUGUACAAGAGAAUAUUCACAAAAAUAUAAAUACAUACAUUCACCAAAUGCUUGUAGAUCAUUGAUUUAGACUGUAAGCGUCCACCAUAAGGGAGGCAGCUCAUCUGUGCAGGCAGCUCCUCUUGCCCUGUUCAGCUGGCUUUUGCUUGCCUCUCCUUGACACCAGACCUCUGGUGUGUGCAUAUUCUGACUGCAGCCACGCUAGCAAUGGAACAAGGGGACAAAAACAAUGUUUAAUUAAGUACAUUGUGACAGUCCAGAAGAACAUUUCUACUUUCUGACUGAAAUCCCACACAGGAAUGAAAGCGACAGAAAACUCUACCCCUCCCUGCAUGUGGCCAGCCCCUGUGGACCCUGGUGACAGGCACUCUGCUCACCUUCUGCUCGGAAGUUUUGCCAAGCCCAUGAUGGUUUUAUGAAAUCCUUUCUUUGAUUUGGCUCCUGGCAGUUUGCAGUUUGAAGUCAUACCUUGUCCUGGAUGGAAACCACGUAAAACUAUUACAUUCUAUAUUGUUCCCAUCCUAGACUGUGAACUCAUUGGGCUCCGUCCAACCCAAACCUCAGCACUGAUUUCCUCAAUAUUUGGCCCACAUUUAUAAACCUCAAAGAACCUCCCAGCAAACCUGGCUUGAAUCUAAAGUCUCUUUACCCGCAUUUACACAGGCCUGCUUUUAAACCAGUAAGCCUGCAAUAGACUGCCCUAGAACUUCAUAGCUUCCUUCCAGCCAUGUUAUAUAUAACUUCAGUAUAAUUUGUUUAAAAAAAGCACAAGAAAGAUUAUUUGGAGAUUCAAAUUAAGUGUAAUAGAACUGUAAUGAUUCUGGCAAUCAUUUUAGAAGCUGCAAUAACUAAUCAUUGUAGAUCUAACUAUAUAUACUGGCAGACACAUGGAGAAUAUUAACAGAAUCUUCCCACAGGGCUGCUUUUAGAGCUUAGCACUGCAAUUUGUUGAACAGUCUCCAUCACUUUCUGUACAAAACCCCAUGGUUCCUUUCUAAAUAAGUACUCAAAUGCUUCCUAUAUAUUGCAUUUGUAAAAAAAUACAUACAUGUAUGCGACAUCCUAAAUGGGA